rnacentral:lncRNA from 1 species
GUUUAGCAGGGGAAAAGAGGGUGCCCUGACGGCAGAAGCUAAGCUCGCUGCUGGCGCGGCCCCGCCUUUCCCUGUGCUUCGGUCCGGGCCGCCAAGCCCUCCCCACGCCCGACGCCCCUGCGGUAACUGCUUCGCACUAGGGCGAUCAAACACACACCGCUGCCGCCGAGUCGGAACCCCAAGGCUGGGGGCGGGGAGCACUCCUCGUCCGCAGCAGCCUCCCCAGAGCCGGGAGAGCCCUCAGCGAACCCAGAAGAAGAUGGCGCCCACUCUCUCCCCUCCGAUCCGGACAAACGGACGUACGGUGGCUCUGCCCAUGCGCUCUGCAGGCGUCCCCCCCACCCCCACCCCCUCUCCCGCCGCCCCGGCCCCGUCUGCGCACGCGCCCUAACGUUCGCAGACUUCCCGUUGUCAAGCGGGAGGGAGGAGGCGUCAGGGCGCGCGCUUGCCCGGGGCCAGCGGGAUCGAGCUCUUGCGCAUGGUCAAAGCCCGCACUGCGUGGGACUCCACAGUGCCGGCGGAGAGCUUCCGUUAACAGGAGUUUGCGGUCAGCACACGGCUGUGAUGGGAAACGUGUGUAACAGCCGAAGUACACUGGACGAACGUUCGUGAUUCCCAAGGGCUACGAAAAGAGUCGCAAAAGCAGAGGAAACACUUUUGGAUGCUGACCAGCGCCCCAUGGGACUUCUGGGCGCGGAGGCCUUUUUGUCCCCUUUUUAUUUGGCUUCCCUGGUGGCUCAGACGGCAAGACUCCAGCCUCCAUGAUCUCUCACUUCCAAAAGGCAGCCGUCAACAUCAACAAUUAAGAGUCGUGUCUGACUCUGCAACCCAAUGGACUGCAGCCUACCAAGCUCCUCUGUCCACGGGAUUCUCCAGGCAAGAGUACUGGAGUGAGUUGCCAUUUCCUUCUCCAGAGGAUCUUCCCAAGCCAGUGAUGGAACCCAGGUCUCCUGCAUUGCAGGCAGAUUGCUUUCUCCUGCACUGUAUAAGGCAGGAACAGUUCCUAAUCAAAGGAGGAACAGCAACGAAAUCACCACAGGCAGGAUUUAAGGACCAGAGAAGCUCACCAAGAUUAGGAGACUGGAAUAUUUUGGCUCGGACCUGUGCCUCCUGCGUCCUUCAUUGGCAGGCAGAUUCUUUGCCGCUGACCACCAGGGAAGCCCCGCGUCACUCCUGA